CCUACGGGAGGCAGCAGUGAGGAAUAUUGGUCAAUGGACGCAAGUCUGAACCAGCCAAGCCGCGUGCAGGAUGACGGCUCUAUGAGUUGUAAACUUCUUUUGUACAGGGAUAAACGCAGACACGUGUGCCUGUCUGAAUGUACUUUAUGAAUAAGGAUCGGCUAACUCCGUGCCAGCAGCCGCGGUAAUACGGAGGAUUCGAGCGUUAUCCGGAUUUAUUGGGUUUAAAGGGUGCGUAGAGGGUGUGUUAAGUCAGUGGUGAAAGCCCGGGGCUCAACCCCGAACAGCCGUUGAAACUGGGCAGCUAGAGAGUGCGAGAGGUAGGCGGAAUGUGUGGUGUAGCGGUGAAAUGCUUAGAGAUCAUGCAGAACACCGAUUGCGAAGGCAGCAUACCGGUGCACAUCUGACGCUGAGGCACGAAAGCGUGGGUAUCGAACAGGAUUAGAUACCCUAGUAGUC
rnacentral:rRNA from 1 species